rnacentral:rRNA from 1 species
GAUGAACGCUGGCGGCGUGCCUAAUACAUGCAAGUCGAACGAAACUUCUUUAUCACCGAGUGCUUGCACUCACCGAUAAAGAGUUGAGUGGCGAACGGGUGAGUAACACGUGGGCAACCUGCCCAAAAGAGGGGGAUAACACUUGGAAACAGGUGCUAAUACCGCAUAACCAUAGUUACCGCAUGGUAACUAUGUAAAAGGUGGCUAUACUACCGCUUUUGGAUGGGCCCGCGGCGCAUUAGCUAGUUGGUAGGGUAAAGGCUUACCAAGGCAAUGAUGCGUAGCCGGAUUGAGAGGUUGAUCGGCCACAUUGGGACUGAGACACGGCCCAAACUCCUACGGGAGGCAGCAGUAGGGAAUCUUCCACAAUGGGCGAAAGCCUGAUGGAGCAACGCCGCGUGGGUGAAGAAGGUCUUCGGAUCGUAAAACCCUGUUGUUAGAGAAGAAAGUGCGUGAGAGUAACUGUUCACGUUUCGACGGUAUCUAACCAGAAAGCCACGGCUAACUACGUG